rnacentral:lncRNA from 12 species
ACCACAGAUAUGGUGGCUUAAAUGACAGAAAUUUAUUGUCUCAUGGGGCUGAAGGCCAGAAGUUCUAGGUCAAGGUGUCUGCAGUGUUGGUUCCCUCUGGGGACUGUGAGGGAGAAUCCAUGCCUCUCUCCAAGAUUCUGGUGUUUUCCCAGAAAACAUCUUUGGCUUCAGAAACAUCACCCUGAUUUCUGUCUUCUUCAUGGGGCAUUUUUUCUACAUGCAUAUGACUGUCUUCAGAUUUUCCCUUUUUGAUAAGGACACUAGUCAUAACGGAUUAGGGGCCACCCUAAUAACGUCAUCUGAAUUUAACUAGUUAUAUCUGUAACAAAGGGGUUAGGACUUCAACAUAUGAAUCUUGGGGAGACACAAUUCUACCCAUAACAAUUCUGUACCCAGAACCCCCUGCCUGAUCAGAUUCUUGAGAGGCAAAACUUUGUUUCUGAAUUAAUCUAAUGUAUCUUCCCUUAGGAUAUGUACUCUUUCCUCCAGCCAAUAGACUUCUGUGAUAACUUUCCUGGACAGCAGUGGUGAAAGGAAGAAAGAAGAGCAGCCUGCCUCCUGGGAAAUAACACUCUAUCACUCCCACUGUUUAGAAUCACCGGCAUAAGCCCUUGUCAAUGCCUCUUCAGAUCAAUGUUUCCCGGUCAGGGCAGGAAAGAGCAACAGAAGAGGGAAAGGAUACAGAAGUUUCAGUCUUGAAUCUUCAUCCCAAGAGAAGAACCAGAGAGCUUUUAGUGGAAGAGGAGCCAUUUAGUGCAUCUGAAGGAAGUCUCAGGGCCGCUUCUCUGUUUGCCCGGAGUCACUUUAAUGAUGCAAGGGAGCACAUAAUGCACUUUACCCUGACAUUUCAUUACUUUAGGCACUAACCCAUUGUCAGAUCCACCAUCAAUAUCUUAUUAAAUUUGUCAUUAUGUCCUUGACAUUAUUUUAAUAGCACUGGCAACUGCGUGAUAGAAAUAAAUAAAUCAAGAGCCUAAAUUUCUAUUAUGUG